GAGCAGGAGAAUCUCAUGGUUCAGGGUACAGUCACUCAACGGCAGAUUCUCAAGCACCUUCGGGGGACCCGGGGGCCCUAAGCCUUGGUCUCUUCUGAUUCAGCAUCUGCAGGGAGCAGACCUCCUGCCGGCCGUGGGUUAGUCUCUAACUCCAUAAGGAUGAGCAUCUUCACCUUUUCAUCACUAACACAUUCCAACUGGAGGAGAGCAGCUGGCAGGAGAGCUGCGGAGGCAAUGGGAUUAUUCCGGAGUGUUUACUUCACUGUUUGGAGCAUCAGUAUGUAAAAAGGCCCAGCCAGGGAAUUGCCCGCGACAGCUUUCCAGUCUCAGAAUGUUUGUGCUCCCAACGUGAGCUGACAGCAUCAAAGGUAGAGUGAGCUUCCAAUGGAAAGAGCUGGAGGAGCAGACCCACCGGCCCUCAGCAACCUGAGCAGGAGGAACAGGGCCACUGACGGGUCCUAGACACAAAAUGGCACAGCGCACCAGCGAAACAACCAUGUGCAUAUCUACGUGCUGGAGUUCCUUUCAUGUAAGAAACACAGAGAAAAAGAAAACAUAGGCAUUGUCUGUUCUUCUGUGCCAAAAAGAAACCCAGGGAGGAGAAAUCAGAAACAGAGGAGAUUGGUUACCUAUGGGGGUAAGCUAUAGCUAGGUUAGGAGGUGGGAUGGGUGGAAACUACAGAGGGCUGGGGACGGGCCUCAGGGCUGGGGAGCGGCAGCUCUCGGAGUCUACCUUUGAUAUAUGGUUCUGACUUGAGAACCAGGCUGGCGUUUCACAGUGGCCACUCAACCAGUAAGGAUGGAGGAAGAAGGCCAGUGAAAUACAAACAGGAACAAACGAGCCCAAAUGUACUACAAAUAAGUAACAUAACAACGUGGAAGGGGGGUGAGCAAGAAAAGAACUAGCCUAACUAGCAUACUCAACUAUAACUUGACUAUCCACUCUGUCGGGGUGC